GGCCACACCUGUGGCAUAUUGAAGUUCCCAGGCUAAGGGUCAAAUCAGAACUGCAGCUGCCUGGCCUGUGCCACAACUGUGGCAACAGCGGGAUCCAAGCCAAAUCUGCAACAUCCAUCCUAGCCUGUGCAACACUGGAUCCUUAACGCACUGAGCGAGGCCAGGGAUCAAACCUGCAUCCUCACAGACACUAUGUCAGGUUCUUAACCCACUGAGACACAACAGGAACUCCAAGAUAAUAUGAUCUUAAAUGUACCACUCUACAUUUUUGCAUAUGCAUACACACAAGGUAACCACAACCCAGAUUGUGAAACACAACGUUUCCAUUUCUCCAGAAGACUCUGUCUGCCCUUUUCCAGUGUCCUCAAUAAACCAUCCCCCCACAAACAUACAUACACACACACAACCACUCUUCUAACUCUGACCAGCAUUGGUCAGUGCGGUCAGUUCUUGAAUUUUAUUUUAAUUUUUUAAUAUUUAGAUUUUUAUUUUUUUAUUAUACUGCACACCAUACAUGUUCCAUUUUAUAAGUCUACUACAUUUAUCUAUUCAGUAGUUGAUGGACAUUUGGGCUGCUUCAAGUUUUCCAAGUAAAGCUGUUAUGAACACUCUUGUAAAGUCUUCUGCUAGACAGACGAAUUCAUUUCUCUUGGGUAUAAACCUAGGAGUAGGGUUUUUGGACUGUGGACUUGGGCGUAUGUAGACUACAGUAUUAGUUCUGAUUCUGACUACUUGGCGAACUUCUCAUCAAGGUUAUGUUGUGCCGUGUUUUUUCUAUUCCUAAUAUCUAGCAGAUAUUGAGAAAUAAUCAUGCCAAGCAUUAAAUUAAGCUAUUUAUGAUUUGUCCUUCCAUAGUUGACCUCUCCUGCCUAACCACAAAAUAGUAUUGUUCUCCACAAUGUUUACUGUCACAAAAAUGACACUGUUCUGGGAAAAAUCCUAUCAGGCAAAGUCAACCUCUAAAAUAGCAUUGUAAUAAAUAUGCAGAAAUGUCACUUUUUGCAUUAGCCCAAAGGUUUUGUAUAGCUUAAGGAUAUGUGCAGUAAGCUAACUAUAAAAAUAGAAUCUUGACAGUGGGGAUGUAUGUGUGUGUCAAAAUAAUAUUACUCUUUCUGGGAGUAUGGCAGAAAAAAUGACACUACAUCCACCAGCAUGAUUUUUAUAGAUCUGCCUCUUUGCCAGAUGUCACCUUUUAUAAACUGCUUUAAAAAAACAUGACAGUAUAAGUG
rnacentral:lncRNA from 1 species